CGUGGAUCUCGUUGAGCUCGGGGUCGAUGGUCGCCCUCUGGGUGAAGCCCGUCAUCGGCACUGUGAAAAGAAAAGAGGGAACGGAUAAAAGUGAUAAAAGUGGCGUCUGCUGCUCUCACUGGAGACGGGGGGCGCAGAAGAAAACAACAACAUGGCCUCCUCCAGCUGACACAGCGCAGAGACGAGCUGCAGCAAUAAUAAAACUUAAAAAGUCAAGAGGAAGUGAAGAAAACUGCUCAAUCAACCCGAUGUGUGUGGGGAUCAAUUCGACACUGUGCCGCCUCAAUGAAAUGGUCUACAAUGAAAUAAGUCAAUCUGUUCAUUUACGGUCCAUUUGUUGGAAGAUACAUGUAUAAAUAUAUACAUAUAUCUUAAAUAUACUAUAUCUCAUCUAGCGUCUCAUGUCAAAUAAAUGUUAAAAAGCGGGGCACAAGUUGGUUCAACAGAUUCACAUUUGAUGGCAGACCUCAGACCAGUUUUAAACUCUUUACAAAGAGACGAGGAAACACAUAACUGCUCCAAGUCGGGCCUUAAUUUUGUUCUUUCCGUAGAGGAAACGGAGACUCGACCGCAAAUGUCACGGCGGGGAAAAAUGGCAGAAAUGGAAUUUCAUUCAAGAGAUACCAAAUAAAUGAGCUUGAGUCGGCCCAGAGCUCCCAGCUCGGGUUACGGGUCAGGAGAGAUGCUGCUGCUCCUGCACACGUCGACACGACAGGACAGUUCGUGCUUCCUUCCUGCAAAGACACAUUCUGUUCUUUCUUGCUCCGUUUCAGCCGCCCACGGAUUUGAAUUGUUCCAUUCCUCUGGCAGGAGCCAGGCCGACGGGCUGAACGUCUGCAUUCCUGAGGUCUUCAUUCAGACCGGCUUUCUCUACCAAAAAGUACCACAAUGGAACCAGAGUCUGGGCUCCAGGCCAGCGUCGGAUUUACACGAGGGAAAAGAGUAAAACUACCCCAAAGAAAUAUAAUGUUGCCCCCUUAAUUUCGAUAAUUAAAUAGCGUUUUGUUUUUGUUC